UUCCGGUUGAUCCCGCCGGAGGUCACCGCUAUUGGGAUCCGAUUAAGCCAUGCGAGUCGAGAGGGUUUAGACCCUCGGCAGAAGUCUCAGUAACACGCGAACAAUCUGCCCUUGAGUGGGGAAUAAUCUCGGGAAACUGAGCAUAAUACCCCAUAGAUCUAGGAUGCUGGAAUGCUUCUAGGCUCAAAGCUCAGGCGCUCAAGGAUGAGUUUGCGGCCUAUCAGGCUGUAGUGGGUGUAACAGACCCACUAACCUGUGACGGGUACGGGCCUUGAGGGAGGUAGCCCGGAGUUGGACUCUGAGACACUAGUCCAGGCCCUACGGGGUGCAGCAGGCGCGAAAACUUCACAAUGCGGGGAACCGCGAUGAGGGGAUCCCAAGUGCCUAUGCAUUGCAUAGGCUGUUCAGUAACCUAAAAAGUUAUUGGAGUAAGAGCCGGGUAAGACGGGUGCCAGCCGCCGCGGUAAUACCCGCGGCUCGAGUGGUGAUCGUUAUUAUUGAGCCUAAAGCGUCCGUAGCCGGCCUUGUAAAUCUCUGGGUAAAUCGAACGGCUUAACCCUUCGAAUUCCGGAGAGACUGCAAGGCUUGGGACCGGAGGAGGUCGAAGGUACUCCUGGGGUAGGGGUGAAAUCCUGUGAUCCCAGGGGGACCACCAGUGGCGAAGGCGUUCGACCAAAACGGAUCCGACGGUGAGGGACGAAACCCUGGGGCGCAAACGGGAUUAGAUACCCCGGUAGUCCAGGGCGUAAACGCUGCAGGUUUGGUGUUGGGGGUCCUACGAGGGCGCCCAGUGCCGGAGAGAAGUUGUUAAACCUGCCGCUUGGGGAGUACGGUCGCAAGUCUGAAACUUAAAGGAAUUGGCGGGGGAGCACAGCAACGGGUGGAGCGUGCGGUUCAAUUGGAUUCAACGCCGGGA
rnacentral:rRNA from 1 species